rnacentral:rRNA from 1 species
UACCAGCACCCCCGAGUGGUCGGACGAUUAUUGGGCCUAAAGCAUCCGUAGCCGGUACUGCAAGUCUUCCGUUAAAUCCACCUGCUUAACAGUUGGGCUGCGGGGGAUACUACAGCGCUAGGAGGCGGGAGAGGCAAGCGGUACUCAAUGGGUAGGGGUAAAAUCCGCUGAUCCAUUGAAGACCACCAGUGGCGAAGGCGGCUUGCCAGAACGCACUCGACGGUGAGGGAUGAAAGCUGGGGGAGCAAACCGGAUUAGAUACCCUGGUAGU